UAGGGGAACCUGCGGAAGGAUCAUUG
rnacentral:rRNA from 1 species